rnacentral:rRNA from 1 species
AGCGAACGCUGGCGGCAGGCCUAACACAUGCAAGUCGAGCGGCCGUAGCAAUACGGCAGCGGCAGACGGGAGAGUAACACGUGGGAACGUACCCUUCGGUUCGGAACAACCCAGGGAAACUUGGGCUAAUACCGGAUACGUCCGAAAGGAGAAAGAUUUAUCGCCGAAGGAUCGGCCCGCGUCCGAUUAGCUAGUUGGUGAGGUAACGGCUCACCAAGGCGACGAUCGGUAGCUGGUCUGAGAGGAUGAUCAGCCUCACUGGGACUGAGACACGGCCCAGACUCCUACGGGUGGCAG